GAAAAGCAUGGAUGGUUUGAAAAAACUUAAAACCAUCGAUAGUAUCGAUGGUUUUCCAGCUCUAGUUUUAUUCCAUUUCUGACGGUCUGACGAAGCAGUGAAAAGUUUUUUUUGUGGUUGGCCGUCAAAAAGUGGGAAAAUAAGAUUCACAUUAUCAUUGAGGCACUGGAUUCGAAAAAAGGCUAAGCGAGUGGCGGGGGAAAUUCAGCCCGAUCGCUCGUCUCUCUGCUUAUGUUAGAUUAAUCGGGAGAGCGUGAGUUGCGCUCAUCUUCCUCUCGCACCGGUUCCAACAUCCCUCCUAUGUUUUUCAGCUUGAGCUUCAACCCAGGUCCCGCAGACGUAUCGUUUUCCUCGGAUGAUUUGGCCAGCGAGUGUUGGUUGUGUUUCUCCAAGUUCGUGGUGGAAGCCGGAAACGUCAUCGUGGUGGAGACAGAAUCUUUUUUAGAUGGCUAACGUCCCUAAGACGUGUCUUACCACCCCCUGAGACUUUAACAAUAUUUCCCUCUCGCUCCAAGACCUGGUAUUCAGUUAUGUCAAAGUUCAGUGUCAGCUUACUAGGAAAUAUUACGUUUUUCAUUAGUGACCUGACCUCCUACCUGAAUGUCUACAUCCUUUGCCCCUCUCUUUUUAUACCCAGCUACUUUACCUUUAUGCUUUUGUAUCUGGUCAUUAUCUUUUUCAGCCGAGUCAUUAAAAGCCCCUACAACAUCUUGUAUGUUAGGAAUUUUAUCUCGAAUCAAACGAUUAAACAUUAACUCUGAAGGGGCUGUUCCAGUAGUACCAUGAGGGGUGACGUUAUGCAUUAAAAGAAAAUCCUGAAUUUCCUGCUCCAAGUUCUUCUUGUUUAAGUGUGCAAUUUUUAGUCUUUUUACUAGGGACUUGUUUAUAUUCUCCACCUCACCAUUAGCCUGAGGCCAAUAUGGUGGAGCCCGUAUUAGGGUAAUGCCAUUCAAACUGCGAUAAUUUUCAAACAUCUCACUAACGUACUGUCUACCAUUAUCUGUCCGCAGCUACUUUGGAAACCCUAAUCGGCAGAAUAUUUCCUUCAUUGCCCCAAUAAUAGCUGUUUAGGAUAUCGAUUGCAUAAUAUUUAGCUCCAUGUAUCUUGAAAAAUAGUCUAUAAAGACCAGGACAUAUUUUCCAUUCGGCAAUGGACCCAAAAGAUCACUGGCUAUCGACAUCCAAGCGCUUGUUGGAAAUGGUGUUCUCUGCAAUGGUGCUGGGCCUAAAGGUUGAGAGACUACUAAACAGUCUCUACAUGCUUUUACAAAAUUCUCUGCGUCUCGGUCGAUGCGUGGCCACCAUACCUUUGACCUUAAACGCCGCUUCAUUGCAGACUCGCCUGGAUGACCUUCAUGGGCAAGUUCUAAUACUCUAUUUCGAAGUGUUGCCGGAAUGACUAAUCGUGUUGCUCUAAGCAGAAUUUUCCCAAGCGUCGAAAGUUCAUAUCGAAAUGGGUAAAAUUUGUUUGAUGUACAUGGAUCCCAAGUGUCAGUCUCCAAAAAGGACAUGGCGUCAAUGAUUUCCUCAUCCAUACUAUUUGCUUGGGAUAUUUCUGAUAUGUGUAACGCUGCAGGAACAGAGUAUUCGAUGACCCGAAAGACAUUAUAUUCAUCAUUUCGCCAGGAAGAGUUCGUCGCAGACAGUUCACAAAGUCGAGACUGAGCGUCUGAAAUAUUCUCUUUUCCCGCCUUGUAGAUUGCUUUAAACUUGAACGCCUGUAUGCGUAAGAGCCACCUUUCAAUUCGCGCUGGAGGCUUCGAAGUUGGUUUGAAUAUUGCCUCCAGUGGUUUGUGAUCCGUCACCAGCUCGAAUUCUAAUCCAGC